ensembl:lncRNA
ACAAGAUAUAGUUAUAUCUAUAUCUAUAACAGUAUAUAUAAAUUCGCUAUAAUAUAAUAUAGAGAACGAGCGAGAGAAAGAGAGAUAGCUGUCUGGUCGUAACUGGAGCGGUAACGGAACUGCACUAUUGUUCUCGUUAAAUUCCUUUCCCCCGCGCUCUCGCGCAUGCCAGUCUCCCGUUCUUUAGGAGGAGAGAGACGGAGGCUCGCGGGGCUGGGCUCUACGCAUUGGCUGAAAGGAGACCUCUGGUGUUUUUUUAGCUUAUAUUUUUAGCAGCGGAGGUCGGAUUCGUAUUGCAUCGCGCGUGGCUCAUCUGCAGUGCUGCUGCGCGCUGGAGAACCGCAGUGUGUUGCGCUCUGAACGCUCGAGCUCCGCAUACUGAACGCGCCCGCUGCAACGGCGAAUGAGCUCAAGAAAACACGCAGUUCGGUCUGUUUGCGGAGCGCUGGAUAUCUCAUAUAGGCUUUCUUCUUAUUUUUUUGGAAAUGGCCAGUCCCGGAGACGAUUCGGCUUCAAAUGCCCAGCUGGAUCAAGCUGAAUCUGCUGACGCUUCGCCAGAACCAGCGUUUCAAGAAGCUCAGAAAUGGAUCGAGGCAGUGACAGGAAGAAGUUUCGGUGAUAAGGAUUUCAGAAGCGGCCUGGAGAAUGGCAUUCUGCUCUGCGAGUUGCUGAGUUCAAUCAAACCAGGCCUUGUGAAAAAGAUCAACAGACUUCCAGCACCCAUUGCAGGACUGGAUAAUCUGACCAUGUUUCUGAGAGGAUGCGAAGAGCUGGGAUUGAAGGGAUCACAGCUGUUCGAUCCUGGAGACCUGCAGGAUACGUCGAUACGAGCAAACUUAACGGGCUCUGACUGCAGUAGAAAGCUGAAGAAUGUGCUCAUAACCAUAUACUGGCUUGGUAAAGCUGCUAACAGCUGUACAACAUAUAACGGCCCCACACUCGACCUGAAAGAGUUUGAGGGGCUUCUUUCCAUGAUGCGAAAGGAGUGUGUAAAUGAAGAGUUAGACUCCCCUAAGCGCAGUAUAAGGGACAGCGGUUACAUUGACAGCUGGGAAUCGGAGCGUUCUGAUUCGCUGUCUCCUCCGAGGCACGGCCGCGAAGAUUCGUUUGACAGUCUCGACUCGUUUGGCUCACGAUCACAGAACACACCCUCACCAGACACCGUUAUUCGCUGCAACAGUGAUGGUGACGCUGGUCAAAGGAAGUUGCCAGACGUGCGCAAGGAUGACAUGUCUGCCCGUCGCGUGUCCUACAAAGAGCCUCGCGCAGCUCUGCCCUUUAAUCAGUAUCUGCCGAACAAAAGCAACCAAACCAACUACAUUCCUGCCCCCCUGAGGAAGAGGAGGAGCGAGAGAGAGGAAGACUGGAGGAGUCUAAGCAACUCAACGUCUCCUGUAGGAGGAGAAAGACCUCUCAGGAGUGUGAGUUUGAUUGACAUGCGUGAUGAAGAGGAUGAGCUGGCCUACCAUCAGCCGCACAGCCAAUCACGACAUGAGCACCUACACAACCAGUACAACAAACUCCGAGAGGAGGAGGACCAGUGGCAGGACGACUUGGCUCGCUGGAAGAAUCGGAGGCGAAGUGCAUCUCAAGAUUUGAUCAAAAAGGAAGAAGAGAGGAAGAUGAUGGAGAAGCUAAUGUCAACAGAUGGAGGACCCGGUCAUCGCCGGAAGAGCAUCAAGACAUACAAAGAAAUUGUUGAGGAAAAGGAACGUAGGGAACAGGAGCUACAUGAACAAUACUGUAAAGCCUCCACUCCAGAAGAAAAGGCAGCUGUGCUUCAACGCUAUGCUCUCCGUUUCACCAUCAGUGAUGCCAUAUUGGAGAAACUCCAGCUCCCCAAGCUGCCUUCUGCAGCCUCACCGAUGCACACACCACCUCUCCAUCAGCCUGAGAAGAAACUGACCUGCACCACCUUAGCAGAAGCAGAGGAUCUAGAGCCUGAACAAACUACCCAAACACACCACAGUGUCCAUGUAUAUGAGAAGACUACACAAAAACAGGCACCGGCACAGCCCGAAACCCCUGAGCCAUCAUGUGAUGAAUCCACCAAAGCUCCAAAAGUCCUGUCAGUGCCUACACAAGUUCCUCCCGCCCCCUCGAAGCCUGUACCCAUGAUCACCCCAAAACCCUACAGCCAGCCCAAAUUCAGCCAAGGCCUCUGCAAAUCAAUGAAGAGCGAUGGGCUGAUGCGUGUGAACGGUGACAGGACUCAGCAAGAGAACAGAGAGAGGGACGAUAAAGAUUCUGUGUCGUGUCUUCAAGUCAACUUAUCUUCCGCACCUCCAAAUCCAGCCACUCAAAGCCAACAAAAUGAGGAGCUAAUUGCUUUAGAAGUUUCAGACCACCAGCAAAGCUCACAGACUUCCGUUUCUGACCAGGAGAAAGAAGUCGGAAAGAAGGAAAAAGAGUGUUCUCUUAGUCCUCAAGAAGAGGAUAGCAAAGAAGACACCACAACUACACCGUCACUGUCAGAACCAGAAGGAAAGCAGCCAGAGCCUGACACAGUGAUGAAGCGCAGCUGUGUGGUCACAACAACCAUAGUGACAGAACUCACUCAGACACACCCCGUCCCACCAAAUGACACGUCCAGCACAGAGCAGAUUGAAACCCCAAUGUUGAACCUUGCAAAAAGGGUUGACCACUGGACAUGGGAUCCUAAUGAAGAGCGUAGACGGCAGGAGAGGUGGCAACAGGAGCAGGAACGCCUGCUGCAGGAGAAAUAUCAGCGAGAGCAAGAGAAGCUGAAGGAGGAGUGGGAGAGAGCGCAGAGAGAAGUGGAAGAGGAGGAGAGGAGACACCAUGAAGAGGAAAGACAGAUACUGGAGGAAACCGUGACCCCACUGACCCCUCGCACCUCAGGUUUAUCAUCCAGUGUGGUGACAGAAGCUCCGUCCCUCACCCAGCCCUCAGCCCCACGUGACACCAUUGUCCUCUCCUUGGCUGACUGGGAAAGAAAACAGGAAGUGCUGGAGAAACAGGAAGAGAACCAGAGUAACAGACACAGCCCUGAUCAAGUAAUCACAGCGGCUCAACAGAACGGUCAGAGAACUGAACCUCAGGAGAGCCAAACAGCUACACCACAACUGGAGUUUAUACAGGAUGGCUCUUGGAGCUGUAAGUCUAAAGGAAGGCAAGAGGAUUUGAAGAAAACUGCCUCACUGGAUCGUAAACAGAGUCCACCCCAGAGCCAGACCACAAAGAUGAGGAGGUACGUGGAUGUGUCUGUGGGAUUGUCAGUAAGUGGAAAGAAGCUUUGCUCCAGUUGUGCACAUCCGCUGGGUAAAGGAGCAGCCAUGAUCAUUGAAAGCUUGGGGUUGUACUUCCAUAUUCAGUGUUUUAAGUGUGGCAUAUGUAAAGGGUUACUGGGCGACUCAAGUGCUGGAACUGACGUCAGAAUUCGAAAUGGACUUCUUAACUGUCAAGAAUGCUACAUAAAAUCAAGGGCUGCUGGCCAGCCAACAACAUUGUGAUGCCUCUGCACUUCUGACAACUGAAAUCUUAAACCAACCCAGGACCAUAACCAACAACAAAUAUGUUUAUUCAAAGUUUCCAACAGCACAAUCAAGCAUAGACAUUAAUGUAAUUAAAUGGAUUAAAUGGAUUAAAUGGAUGAUGGCUUUUCCUCUGGACUUUAUUUGACUGUCUUUGCACUCGCUGAAAUAUGACCUUAUCGCUUACACGAUAAAGAGUCCAUAGAAUAUUACAGCGAUUACAGCAGUUUGUUCAUACUGUUAGAAUAAGAAGUACUGGUAGCACUUUACCUCACAGUGCCCAUGUUACACACAUUUCAAUAGCGAUAAGGCCUGAAAACGCUUCACGCAAAUAAAGAUGUGCUUUCUUGCA